AAAUGAUUGAGUAGAGAGCAAGAACAGAUAACAGAAGCGGAUGCAGAGGUUUCAAGCGCUUGACAGUUAAUCAUACUUAUAAUUUCGUGGAUCCUGAUUCCAGUGCAAACACCCAAAACGUGGAGCGAGCGUGGCGUGAUAUGAUACCAAAAUAUGGCCGCCGUGAUUGCACGUGAUAUGAUGCCAAAAUAUGGCCGCCGACAUUGCACGUGAUGUGAUGCCAAAAUAUGGCCGCCGUGAUUAUUACAUGGAUGGUUUCAUCGCGGAAUUUCUGUGUAGACGCCG